AUCGCUUCUCGGCCUUUUGGCUAAGAUCAAGUUCUCAUCAGGUUAAUAUCUGAUCGAUAAUAUAUUGUCUAUAUAUUAAAUUGAUUUUUUACAACGGGGAGACUGGAGAGGGGCUUGCUCCGUCCGCUCCACGCAUCGGCCUGGUAUUGCAGUACCUCCGGGAAUGGUGCACCUCCU
ensembl:snRNA U2 U2 spliceosomal RNA